AGAGAGAGAGAAAGAGAGAGAGAGAGAGAGAGAGGUUUGGGGUGGUUCGUUGGUUUUUUUCUUUUGGGUUACUUUUUGUUGUUUUUUAUUCUUUUAUAGUUUUUAAUUAAUUUUAAAAAAUAAAGAAAAUUUUGUAUUAAUUAGGGUUAAUCGUUUUAUUAGUCUCUGAAUUUAUAUCCGAUUUGCUUUUAAGUCCCUAAAUUUCUAAAAUCAUUCCCGUGGUCCUUUAACUUAACUUUCGUUAGGACAAAUGGUCCUGCCAUCAAUUUUGUUAACUUUUUCUGUUAAAAUGCAGGGGCAAAAUGGUAUUUUUAUAUUAAAACCAAAAAAAUGAAAAAAAAUCAUAUCUUUAAAAUAACAAUAAAAGAAAAUCAAAUAAAGAACCAUCCAAAAAAUAAAUAAAAAAAGUUUGGGGGGAACAGAAAUCGGAAUAGAGAGGGAGAGAGAGAGAGAGAGUUUAAUUUUAAUUUUUUAAUUUUUAAUUUUUUGUUCAUAUUUUAAUCCAUUUAAUACAAAAAUACCAUUUUGCCCUUGCAUUUAAUAGAAAAGUUAACCAAAUUGACGGCAAGACCAUUUGUCCUAACGAAACUGAAGUUGAAAGAUCACGAGAACGAUUUUGAAAAUUGAGGGACUCAAAUGCAAAUUGAGGGACUCAAAUGCAAAUUGAGUCUAAGUUCAGGGACUAAUAAAACGAUUAACCAUAUUAAUUAAUCUUUAAUCAU
rnacentral:lncRNA from 1 species